GGGGGUCAUGAUAGACGGACGCACUUUGAGUUCGCUUCCUGUUUGGCUCGACUUUUCCUUCUUCCGAUGGUUGCUCCUAUAACUCAGGCUUGAAGUUUCUGUUAGCCCCGAGGUGAGAUAUGUGAUAGUAUAGAAAGGGAGUGUGGAGUCCCAUCCAGCGAAACCUUGAAAACAUCAUAUAUUGAGACAAGCUACCAUGAGAGGAAUACCCGCUAGUUUUGGAUUCGUAGACACCACUUAGCUUCCAUUAUCACUAGCGUCAAAUUCAUAGUCAUCACUAGCUUCUUGUUCCUGGUAGCAGCGAUUGCAAUAAGAAAGUACAAUUUUGAUGCUUCAUAUUUCUAACUAGAAAUAUUUGGGCAAGUAGAAGAAAGUUGCUUCACUGACAAAACCAGAAAUAACUAACUGAAUAAGUGAAAUUACUAGCUAAAGAACAUGUUAUACAACACUAAAGCAGGGUGUAUUAAUGCUUGAGGACAAAUAUAAUUAGUUAUACAAGGCACAAGACAAACCUUAGAAUUAAGGAUCUUCAGCCAUUCCUUAGACUUUGUUUACUCACGGAUCUUAGGACAAACGUGUUCAUUCUAUACAACUUUUAAUGUCCAUUUCUUAGAGAAAUGGAAAUUCUAGAGCGUUCUCCGUCCGCAAGAAAUGCCUCAGCUUUGGUAGCUUGCUAUGCUCCAGCUCUCUUCCAACACUUCCAACAGAGGAAAUAAGAACUCGUUGGUCAUUUCUUUCUCCUAGUCCUCUCCCGUCAUCACUUCUUCCUCCAGGCAGUUUCCUGUUUGCAAUAUUCGAAGAUUCAAAAUACAUGUUGCCGCUGAUGGAGAUAUCAAGUUUCUCAAUUUGCCAUGCUUGACUACUUCCAAUAUUUCAAGUUUACUGAAAUAGCCAUUCGGAAGUUGGUGAGAGCAUAGAGCGGUUAUGUUUUCAGUCCCAACACGGUCUAGUCAUUCCAGGCUCAAAAGUUUGGAGGCCAUGCAUUUCAUACAUCUUCAAUUACAAAUAGAAAAAAUGGGACCAUAUCUCAAUAUCCUACAAUAAGGUAACAUGCAGAAAUCCAUCCAGUAGCAACUUGGUCAGCACAUUCUUUGAGCCAUUUCCGCUUGAAAGUACAUGUUCGCUCUUGCUCUUUCUCAUCAGGAGGCAGAUUCAAUAACCCAAUGAGGUGGUCUCAAUAACCUGGAGAUCUAUAUUCAUGCUAUAAGUAUUUGUUAGCAAAGAUACAGAGCAAAGGCAACCUUCGUUUGGAGGAAACGACCAGUUAUUGUGAAUCACAUCUCCAAAACAUCCAAUUAGUGGUAGUGCAGUCAAUUACGAUUAGCAUUCCAGCUGGCUGAACGUCGAGUAACUUAUAUAUUCUACUUUCACAAUAUAUAGUUUCUUUAAUGAAACUAAGAUCCAUGGUGAAAUCAUUUCAAGUGUUGUUUGUUCAUAUGAUCAAUUUUUCUAUCUGUCGUGACAAUACAUUUAAGCAUAAUAUUUAAUGCCGAGAAUUUGCAUAUUGACAAGUUCACAUAUAAUGGAUAUGUCAUCCAACAAUAUUGGAAAUGAUGCAAUGGAGCUACCAUAGCAAGAUAUUGAGUUUACUCAUUCCAACAAUUAAAUAGACUUUGACCGAAACAUUGAUUUAGUAAAUUCAUCUAAUAAUUAAUCUUUCUCGAAACUGGUUCGGCAGUCCCAAUACUAGUCAAAGAAUUCUAUGCUAUUAAAAAUCUCCUCCCGAAGCUACUGCCAGAAUUUUAUGCUAUAAAAAUGUUAUCUUUCCUACUCCUACCAUACCACAUAUCCCGGUAAUAGUGACACUCUAGUCUGUCAAAGCUACCAGUACCUCUUCUUCCGUCGAUUUUCUUAAUUCAAACUCUCAGCAAGUAACUGUUAGAUCUACAAAAUUAAAGAUCAUGUUUUGAGAAAAUUUUAGGUGGAGGAAAACCUACAAGAGAGAUUAU
rnacentral:lncRNA from 1 species